UAGGCGCAGCAAACAGCUUUGCACUUCAGGGAACAGCGAUAUACCCUUCACUCAGGGGGCAGUAAACUGCUUUACUGGGAUAACUUACAUUCCUCAGGCAAAAUCCAGGGCUUUGCCAAAUGGCUCACUUUGAUCUGAGACAAGCGACUGUCUGUCCCUUUCGGCUAGAAGCGCCCUUCCCCCUCCUCAUCUUCCCCUCACACUGGCACUUCCGCGCUGCCCCCUCCCCUCCCCACGCCGCCUCUCAGCUUCUUCACCUCCCCCUCCUCGCGGAGCACUGUCCAGAGUGGCUUCCCGCCGCGUCAUUUUACCCCAGAAAAAUUGUCGCACGUAAAAAGCAACUUGAGGAUAAAAUGACCUCGUCAUCUCGUGCUCGUGCUGUCACCCCCGCGCUGAGCCGGCAGGCACAGGACAUUUUGCUGCCGCCUCACUUCCACCCCGUCUCCUCACAUUUAAUUUCAGGCCUUUUCAGAUGUAAUAGUCCCCAGCUUUGGAAAACUUCCACAAAGCGUGAAGGGAAAACAGGAGCAGCCCUUGACACCUUGAAGGUCACUCCAAGCAAGUGGCUCAUCUCUGCCUGUGGAAAACUACAUUGAUCUGCCUGUGGAAAACUAAAAUUACUUCCCUGGAA